GUCAAACCGAGCCAAGCCAAUGGAACCCAACCAAGGUCAACCCAACCCAACCCAAGGUCAACCAAGGUCAACCCAACCCAACCAAAAGUCAACGAAACCCAAGCCAAGGUCAACCAAGGUCAACCCAACCCAACCCAAGGUCAUCCAAGGUCAACCAAGGUCAACCCAACCCAACCAAAAGUCAACCAAACCCAA